rnacentral:lncRNA from 1 species
GGGGAUUGCUGAGUCAAAGGAUAUGAACACUUUCAUGGUUUUUGACGCAAAAGUGAAUAUUUUUUACAUUUCAGAAAAAGUUUGCCUAGAUGUCAAGUUUAAAGGAAAUGUCAGUCUUUAAUGGUGAGAGCCUUGAGUCACUCCUUCCUGACUAAAUUUCUGUCAUUUGGCCCUGCCUAUAUAGGUCCAAUUGCUGCUUGUUGCUCAUCUAGAACACCUGGGGAUGGGAAGAACUGCCUGAGGCCACGGUAGUUGACUGUGCUGGGUUUUUGCUGUCCCAGGAAUGGAGCUCCAGGGUGUGGUAGGAUUGUCACAAAGAAAAGGGAACACUGUGGAAGAGACUGGACGCAUCAGGAGGGGCUUUCAAAACAUCAAGUUCUCUCUACCCUCAGCCAGAUUCAGCAUCUCAUUAAGGUAUGUCACUGUCUUCAUGAUUGCCAUUGAAGAAAAUAUUCUCUUGGAAAACAUAAGGUCGUGCAGAAUUUCUAACAGUGAAAUCUCAUUGGUCAUAUCCUAUUCUGAUGCCUCAUGGAGUUUGUCAUUUUUGGAGCUGCUAUAUUGACCAAUACAGACGUACCUGUAUUAGGCGGCCCAGUGUUUCGUUGGGUCGAAUCCUGGGCGUGGACAUGGCACUGCUCAUCAAACCACGCUGAGGUGGCGUCCCACAUGCCACAACUAGAAGGACCCACAACGAAGAAUAUACAACUAUGUACCAGGGGGCUUUGGGGAGAAAAAGGAAAAAAUAAAAUCUUUUAAAAAAAAAUAAAUAAAAUAAAAUAAAAUGAAAAAGGAGUCAAUGUAUUCUUUUUAAAUAGCCAAACACAGCCUUCAAACACAAAAGCACCAACAACUGGUGCCUUGCUUGUUUUGACAAACUAUUCAAAUAAAUUUUAAUAGAAAUUAAAAAUGUGUAAAUUCUGCUGCACAGCUUAUAAUCACAAUGCUUAGUAUAAUAUAUAGUAUAUUGCACACAGAAAAUGUGACUUUAAUGCAUACCACUAGCAAAAGUACCUAACUUUUUAAUGCUCUGUACUUGCGCAUAUUUUUGUUAGAUAUGUUUGAUAUCACAGACUUCAGAUGUCUUUUAUAAUUUUGUGUUCCUUUGGUUGAUUUCCACAACAGAUUUGCAUGCCCCUAACCCAUCCUGGUUAAUAUUUCUUUAUAUCUGUAUCUGAAGUUUGGGAAAGUGACCUGAAUGAACAAGCCUUGACUGUGGUGUCACCAGUCUUUCAGUGGUUAUGUUAAUAACAUGUACAUAUAUUUCACCUCCAUCUCUUUUUCCUCAGAAACUGUCAUGUGUGAAAUCAUAAUGCUGUUUCCUUGAUGAGUUUUAUCAUAAAAAACAUCACAUUCAUUCUGCAUGAUUUUUUAAAAUUAACUUUACUGGGGUAUAACUUACAUAAAAUGCACCCAUUUUAACUGUACAUCAUGAUACACUUAGAUAAAAUGUAUGCACCUGCACUCUGCAUGAUUUUUAACUUAGAGGGAUGUGUGACCUGAGUUCAAUACUAAAUGGUCACUUACUAGCUAUGUGACCUUGGGUAAGUUACCUUAACUUCUCAAAGCCUCAGUUCUUCUCUCUGUAAAAUGAGGAUAAUGACAAUCUCAUAGAGUUGUGAAGAUUCACUCUGCUACCAUCUACUGCUGAAUAAUUUCUGAAGGACAAAGUUCCACUAGAAAUAAGUAGUUAUGAAGUCAGGCAAAAAUUCACAGACGCUAAAGCGUAGCUUCUGCAAUUGUUCCAGUACGAUGCUAAGCACUGGAAGCAGGUUGGUGGCGGGUUUUUUUUCCUUUACACUCCCUACAAGCGUGAAGGCAACGUUCUUCAGCGUCUGAGAACGUGGGCGAACUGUAUGUGCUGAAUGACGUGGCUUCGCUUUGGUCACAAGGGCUUCUGCCAGCCAAUGAACAACUUCCUGUGAAUACAGUCUGACGUCAGACAUGGAGAAACCCAUACGGCAGUGGCUUCAUGUCAUCCUUGAUUACGUCUGGAUAUAUACUCGGAGAUUUUUUUCUUUUUUUUCAUUUAUUUGUUUAUUUUUGGAUGUACAUCAUAAUAUAUUUCCGAUUCUGUGUAGAUUACAUCAUGUUCACCACCCGAAAACUAAUUACAGUCCAUCCCCUCACAGGCACUUUGGAAUUCAGCUGCAUUCUUCUACUUUCAACAAGUUACCUUCCUACCACUUCCAUUUGGGUGGAGCCAGAAGGAAGAAACGCCCAAACAGAUCUUCAGGAUCCACCCUCCCCAAUAGGUUCUCACGGCAGAGAUGCGCCUGGCAGGAGCUUCAACCCCAAGGCCACCCGCCGCCGCGGGUUCCCAAACCCGGAUAGGGCCCUAAUGGGAAAGCAGCCUGGGUUCGCCUCGGCCCAGCCUCCGCCAAGUCUUCGGGAUCUGACGACCCACAACAGCGCGAGGGCGGAGGGACCGGAGGAAGCAGAGGAAGAGGAGGAAGAGGAAUUGCUUUUGUCGAGGCUCCGCCCGGCGCUAGCCAGGCCUCGUGGAGCCUCCGGGGCUCGGGGUCCCCAGGGGGCGUGGCCUCAGGGGCGGAAGCGGAGCGCGGGCGGGGGCUCAGGCAGCGCGCGGCGCGGGGGAGGGUCGGAGCCUCACCGGGCGGGGCGGGGCCGCAGGGCCUCCCCAGAGCGGGCGGCGGAGCUGCACUAGUCCGCGCGCGGUAGGGCGGAGACCCCGUACCCGAGGAGAAGGCAAAUUCUUAAGAAGGUCUCCAGUUCUGCCCAUCCUGCCCCACAGUGUAAGUGACCAGUGCGGGUCGCCAGCCCGAGAGCCGGCAAUCAGGGUAGCUUCUGUUUUCAUUUUCACUUUCCCGCCCACGCCUCAGACUUGGAGCGGAGCAAGGCGUGGGGGCCAGCCCUGGUGUCACCGCCUCCGCCGCCAGGCUGGUCCCCUACCGGCGGCAGGCGAGGGCACAGGGGCAGUGGUGUGGGGGUUAGGUGCUCUGCAGGGUGCACUCUCCAAAAUGCUACCCUGCCCCGAGAUUUCCGCCAUCGAAGCAGUCCAGGAUAAAAUGCAAAUAUACUGGGGUCUUAAUUAGUAACUGAAGUGUUUCUGGCCCCCAGCUAUCUAAAAAUAUUCUUCUGGUUUAAGAGAUUAAGUGCCUUUUUCUUCUUUUUCUUUCUAGUGGAAAACUGGACGCUGAGAAGUACACGCCAGAUUUGGCGGCCAGGCUAGUCUGAGAGCUAUAGGACAUGGAGCACCCCCAGGGGAAGCAAGACAGGAUUCUCUCUCCCUCCUAGAUGUGAAUGUGUGACAUAGCUCCGCUCUCAACUCCUCUUUGCAGAUGAUUUGUGUUGUCAGAUAAUUCAAUCUUUCUAGUUUUGUGACAGCUUCUUAACUGAAUUCCUCCACUUUUAGUUCAGCUUAAGCCUUGAUUGUGUCAUCUACCCCAAUGCUAGACGAAAGAGUUAAAGGACCAAAAGAGAGUAAGCCUUUUAAAGAAAGAAAAGAGCUAUAUAAUUGCCUAAGUAAAGCAUACUUCAGCUUUCAUAACUGCAAAAUACGUUCAGUUUAACCAACCAAAUUUUGUGCUGGACCCUGGGAUAACACAUAUGUACUAUAGAUACUCUAGUAGGGAAGAUAGAUGAAUAGAAAGACAACUAUAAGUCAGUGUUAUACCUUUAAUAAUAAGAGCACAUACUAGGUACAAAAGUGGCUAACUGAAGGAGUGACUAAUUCUAUGAGGUAUCUGGGGACAGGGGUAUAAGAAAAAGGUUUCAGCCAGGAAUGAUGCCCAUCAGAGGGGGUGUUUGAAGCAUUAGCAGGAAUGGUUAAAAAAAAAAAAAGCUCAUGAGGUAGAUAGUAAUAAAUGACUACGAAAUACUGAUUGACAACACAGAAGAAAGUAAACUGUAAAGAGGUGAAUUCUCUUAAUUUUAAAUUAUCAGCAAAGAGAUUAGUUGAAAAAUGGGGUGAAGGAAUAAAGAACUCCUUUUAGUCAAGUCUUAAAAGUUACAGAAGUAAAAUAACGCUUCCAUAAUUCCCACUCCAGUAAAGACCAGUGUUGUUACAUUGGUGUAUGUUCCUCCAGGGUGUGUAUUCAUGACUGACCUAGUUUUCUGUAGAAAUGGAAUCUUCAUACACUGGAGGUGGUGUAGGAAAGUGGUUGCAUGUGCUGGCUUAGGCAGUCUGGUCUGGAGUGCAGGGUCCACUCCUUCCCAGUUCUGUCAUCUUGGGAAGUCAUUUCUCUUCACCUCAGUUUCCUCCUCUGCAGAAUAGGGCUAUAACUGUGUCACUUGUCGGUUGAGAUUUUAAAUGUCAGCAGAGACGUUUUGUGCAUGGAAAGGAACCCAUAAAGUGGCUUUUGUUUUAAUUGAUAUUUAAUUUAUUAGGAGUGUAAAAUUUAAUUCUAGUUACUAAGCAGUGAAACCCAAAUCUCAAAUUCACUUAUAAAUCUAUCAAUUUUAUGUUAAAAUAAAACACUUUUCUUGUUCUUUGCUUAAUCCUCAGUGAACAUAUUACUUUGACAUAUUAAACUUCCCAUUUAAACACUAUAAAUGGAAUAGAAUUUUCUUAAGUAUUACAUAUUAAAAUCACAAAAGCACACAAAUCUAAC